GACGAACGCUGGCGGCGUGCUUAACACAUGCAAGUCGAACGGAAAGGCCCUGCUUUUGUGGGGUGCUCGAGUGGCGAACGGGUGAGUAACACGUGAGUAACCUGCCCCUGACCUUGGGAUAACUUCAGGAAACUGGGGCUAAUACCGGAUAGGAGCUCCUGCUGCAUGGUGGGGGUUGGAAAGUUUCGGCGGUUGGGGAUGGUCUCGCGGCUUAUCAGCUUGUUGGUGGGGUAGUGGCUUACCAAGGCUUUGACGGGUAGCCGGCCUGAGAGGGUGACCGGCCACAGUGGGACUGAGAUACGGCCCAGACUCCUACGGGAGGCAGCAGUAGGGAAGAUUGCACAAUGGGCGGAAGCCUGAUGCAGCAACGCCGCGUGCGGGAUGACGGCCUUCGGGUUGUAAACCGCUUUCGCCUGUGACGAAGCGUGAGUGACGGUAAUGGGUAAAGAAGCACCGGCUAACUACGUG
rnacentral:rRNA from 1 species